ACGCACACUCACAUACACUUUUACACUCAUACUUGGCUGCUGCUGCUCUGCUCUGCUCUUUAUUUUUCUAUUUAUUAUUUUACACACAAAGCUUUAUUGUAAUGAAGUAGGCCUACUUUUGGGACUUGUGUUCUGUUCUUUUCAUAAGAAGUAUCUCCACCGAUUCCACCCAGAGCCUUCAUCGGGGUAAUAUUUGCUGUAGCCAAGAACAACUGCUUUGAAACAAUGUCAACCAAUUGGUUCUCCAACCAAAUAAGGUUGAAUUCAGAUAGAGAACAAGACUGCCCAUCGGGACAAGAAUUAAACACACUCAAGGGAAAGUCAAUGCAAAUUUAGAUAAUGUCAUUUUCUGAAUAUGUUUGCAUGUGACCUUUGUGGAGAGAGAAGAGUGAAAUGUGAAACUACACUGACCCAUUGAGAAAACAAUAUCCCCAAAACUUCCACUGGCACUCUGGAAUGGGGAAUCAUUCAAAAACACUUUCUGCAGAAAGCCUUCAUCAGGGUUUAAGUCAUGGGAGACAGACACGUAUUUAAAUAAACACCUGUGCUUAGCUGUGGUCUCAGAAAAUAUAAUUUUUUUCCAGGUCUAUUCAUUAAAUGCUUAGCUGUGGUAUCAGAAUGAAGAGUUUAUCCCAGGUCUAUUCAUUAAAUGCUUAGCUGUGAUAUCAGAAUGAAGAGUUUAUCCCAGGACUACUCUUUGUAAAUCCACCAUGAUGUAUACCCUGAUGAAGCCUCUAUGCUGAAACACUUUGGAAACAGAUAAGUUGAUAUAGUUAAAGUCAUGCCUACUUUGUAAACCAUACGUAACCAAUAAAUCCAUCAAGUCCCAUCGCUCAGUCUGUUGCUCUUUAAGGAGGUGUGGGUUACAUUUGCAAAAGACUUAGCAAAUACUGAAAGCAUAACCUUAAGUGUAAUAACUGUAAAUGUGUAUGUCUUUCUCAUUUAAUGUUUUAGCCUAAUGUGGUUUCAUGGAUAACUUUGUCAGAGACAAAUUAACUGAAUGGAACUUCAGUGAGUAUAUUGACAGAUUCAAAGAUGAAGAAAUUGACAAAGAGAGUUUCCUGCUCCUAGAUGAAAAAGCCUUUGCCAACUUGAUUCCAAAACUUGGUCCAAGGUACAAAUUUCAAGAGAAACACAAGGCGAUACAAAAGGAGUUAGAAAAUGAGGGA